AUCUUUCAGCUGGGAAGAUAAUGACGGUACCAGCAGAAGAAGCCCCGGCUAACUCCGUGCCAGCAGCCGCGGUAAUACGGAGGGGGCUAGCGUUGUUCGGAAUUACUGGGCGUAAAGCGCACGUAGGCGGAUUGGCAAGUUGGGGGUGAAAUCCCAGGGCUCAACCCUGGAACUGCCUCCAAAACUUCCAGUCUUGAGGUCGAGAGAGGUGAGUGGAAUUCCGAGUGUAGAGGUGAAAUUCGUAGAUAUUCGGAGGAACACCAGUGGCGAAGGCGGCUCACUGGCUCGAUACUGACGCUGAGGUGCGAAAGCUAGGGGAGCGAAUGGGAUUAGAUACCCCAGUAGUCCUAGCCGUAAACGAUGGAUACUAGGUGUUGUCUGUAUCGACCCGGACAGUGCCGUAGCUAACGCGUUAAGUAUCCCGCCUGGGGAGUACGCACGCAAGUGUGAAACUCAAAGGAAUUGACGGGGGCCCGCACAAGCGGUGGAGUAUGUGGUUUAAUUCGAUGCAACGCGAAGAACCUUA
rnacentral:rRNA from 1 species